UUAGGGAUUUUUUGCAAUGCGCGCAAGCGUGACAGAGCGAGCCAGAGUGUUUUUCCUUUUAGGAAAAACUUUUGCCAGCUGUAAAAAGGCUGGCGAAUAAGGACUGGGCAAGACCGGUGCCAGCCGCCGCGGUAAUCCCGGCGGUCCAAGUCGCAGCCACAAUUAUUGGGUCUAAAACAUCCGUAGCUUGCUUUGUAAGUCUAUUGUGAAAUUCUGUCUCUUAAGGGCAGAGAUUGCAAUGGAUACUGCAUAGCUAGAGACUGGGGGGCUGAGAAGUACACUGGAGGUAGUGGUAGAAUAUGUUAAUCUUCGGUGGACUAACAAUUAGCGAAGGCAUCUCACGAUAACAGUUCUGACAGUGAGGGAUGAAGGCUAGGGGCGCAAAAUGGAUUAGAUACCCCCGUAGUCCCUGAGCGGGCUGGCAAGGCGCAU
rnacentral:rRNA from 1 species